GAAAGUGGCGCACGGGUGCGUAACGCGUAUGCAACCUACCUUGAUCAGGGGGAUAGCCUCUCGAAAGAGAGAUUAACACCGCAUAACAUUAUUGAGUGGCAUCAUUUAAUAAUCAAAUAUUUAUAGGAUCGAGAUGGGCAUGCGUGACAUUAGCUAGUUGGCGGGGUAACGGCCCACCAAGGCUACGAUGUCUAGGGGAUCUGAGAGGAUGACCCCCCACACUGGUACUGAGACACGGACCAGACUCCUACGGGAGGCAGCAGUAAGGAAUAUUGGUCAAUGGGGGCAACCCUGAACCAGCCAUGCCGCGUGCAGGAAGACGGCCCUACGGGUUGUAAACUGCUUUUAUACGGGAAUAAACCUUACUACGUGUAGUGAGUUGAAUGUACCGUAGGAAUAAGGAUCGGCUAACUCCGUGCCAGCAGCCGCGGUAAUACGGAGGAUCCAAGCGUUAUCCGGAUUUAUUGGGUUUAAAGGGUGCGUAGGCGG
rnacentral:rRNA from 1 species